rnacentral:rRNA from 1 species
UACGGAGGUCCCAAGCGUUGUUCGGAUUCACUGGGCGUAAAGGGUGCGUAGGCGGUCGGGUAAGUCUGACGUGAAAUCUCCGGGCCUAACCCGGAAACUGCGUCGGAUACUAUCCGGCUAGAGGAUUGGAAGGGAGACUGGAAUACUUGGUGUAGCAGUGAAAUGCGUAGAUAUCAAGUGGAACACCAGUGGCGAAGGCGAGUCUCUGGACAAUUCCUGACGCUGAGGCACGAAAGCCAGGGGAGCAAACGGG